rnacentral:tRNA from 1 species
AGAAGCUUAGGAUAAACAUAAACCAAGGGCCUUCAAAGCCCUAAAUAGGGAUUAAAACCCUAGCUUCUG